UACGAAGGGGGCUAGCGUUGCUCGGAAUGACUGGGCGUAAAGGGGCGCGUAGGGCGGAUGACACAGUCAGAUGUGAAAUUCCCGGGCUUAACCUGGGGGCUGCAUUUGAUACGUGUUGUCUAGAGUGAGGAAGAGGGGUUGUGGAAUUCCCAGUGUAGAGGUGAAAAUUCGUAGAUAUUGGGAAGAACACCGGUGGCGAAGGCGGCAACCUGGUCCUUGACUGACGCUGAGGCGCGAAAAGCGUGGGGGAG
rnacentral:rRNA from 1 species